CCUACGGGGAGCAGCAGUGAGGAAUAUUGGUCAAUGGGCGAGAGCCUGAACCAGCCAAGUCGCGUGAGGGACGACGGUCCUCUGGAUUGUAAACCUCUUUUGUCGGGGAACAAAGGCGCCCACGGGUGGGCGGAUGAGUGUACCCGAAGAAAAAACCUCGGCUAAAUCGGUGCCAGCAACCGGGGUAAUACGGAGGAAGCGAGCGUUAUCGGGAUUUAUUGGGUUGAAAGGGUUGGUAGGCGGACAGUAAAGUUAGCGGGAAACAUGCGGUGCUCAACGCCGUACAGCCGUGGAAAGUGGCAGUCUUGAGUGGGGGAGAAGUAUGCGGAAUGCGUGGUGUAGCGGUGAAAUGCAUAGAUAUCACGCAGAACUCCGAUUGCGAAGGCAGCAUACCGGCGCCCGACUGACGCUGAGGCACGAAAGCGUGGGUAUCGAACAGGAUUAGAUACCCUUGUAGUC
rnacentral:rRNA from 1 species